CCCAACAUAACCCCCAAUUAUGCCCAUGUUAACCGGUUUUUCGCAACAUAAUCGAAUCCCAUAGCCAUUGGGUUUUUCGCAACUGAUUUUGCCAAAUAAUAACGAUAAAUGCACGUGAAUCAGUAGGUAACCAACCAGAAACUACAUUAAUUCCGACCACAAACAAAUCAGAUCUGAUAUGAGGAAGAAUGGGCAGAUCGAUUUCCCAACAAACAGACGAAAUAAAACAAAAUUUCAUCCAUUCAAACACCCAUGAACAUAGGAAUAAUAGAUCAAAGAAUCCAAAUCUGUACAAUAAAAUAGAUAUGCAGUAAAAACCAUAAAGACAUAUCGGAGUACACAAAUAAACAAGUCAUCCGAG
rnacentral:lncRNA from 1 species